rnacentral:pre_miRNA from 1 species
GCUUAUGGACGAAUGAAAAAGGUGGUUUCUUGAGAUGGAAUCUACUCCUGGUGAAGAUGUUGUGAA